UGGGGAAUCUUGGACAAUGGGGGCAACCCUGAUCCAGCCAUGCCGCGUGAGUGAUGAAGGCCUUAGGGUCGUAAAGCUCUUUCGCCUGUGAAGAUAAUGACGGUAGCAGGUAAAGAAACCCCGGCUAACUCCGUGCCAGCAGCCGCGGUAAUACGGAGGGGGUUAGCGUUGUUCGGAAUUACUGGGCGUAAAGCGCACGUAGGCGGACCAGAAAGUUGGGGGUGAAAUCCCGGGGGCUCAACCCCGGAACUGCCUCCAAAACUAUUGGUCUAGAGUUCGAGAGAGGUGAGUGGAAUUCCAAGUGUAGAGGUGAAAUUCGUAGAUAUUUGGAGGAACACCAGUGGCGAAGGCGGCUCACUGGCUCGAUACUGACGCUGAGGUGCGAAAGUGUGGGGAGCAAACAGGAUUAGAUACCCUGGUAGUCCACACCGUAAAACGAUGAAUGCCAGUCGUCGGGUAGCAUGCUAUUCGGUGACACACCUAACGGAUUAAGC
rnacentral:rRNA from 1 species